UAGCUCAGAUGGUAAAGAAUCUGCCUGCAAUGCAGAAGACCCAGGUUCAAUCCCUGG
rnacentral:tRNA from 1 species